AUAAGGCAAUACUAUAUUUUUUAUUUCUUUCCUUGUUGAUUCCUUGUCCUUUAAGGAAAAUAGCAAUCAAAUCACAAUUUAUUUUCUUUCCUUCUACAUCCCAAUUUGAAUUCGAAUUCAAAUAUUUUUUAUCUCAAACAUUCACAGGAUAAACAAACCACGUCGGAAGAAAUUCGAACCGAAACCACGUUCUUUCGGCGAAUUUCGCCGAAAAACGCACCGAAAUCGACUCCCUGAUUUCCGCGAAGGCUAUCGGAUCAUGGACGAUCAGUCCAGAGGUCACCACAC
rnacentral:lncRNA from 1 species